UGAAGUGCUUUUAGCCUCAGCCAUGAGCAUGGCAUCAGCUUCAUGACUAACUAUGGGCUACUGAAAGGGCUACUAAUAGAUGCAGUUUUCAAGCUAAUGUUUUCACACUCUUCCCUGGACUCUUUCAGAACUGGCCAGGAUGAUGCAUCUCUCAAUUUCUUUUUCUCACCUAGAGAUCAUUUAGUCAGCCUUGUCUCACUUUGGAGGGACUAACAAUGCAUACUCGGAAGGCCUCCUGUCUUAAAUUAAAGAGGGCGUUGAUGGAGGUCACCUCCAUAAACGGCAUUCUGGUGUUGCAGGUACCAAGAGCAUAUAGAAUACCAUUGUUUCUUUAACUUGCACUGAAUUUUUAGAAGUAUUUUCAUUUUAAGACUGAAAAUAAAAUAAUGUCAGACAAUGUUGCAUGAAAUUGCAUCUCCGGUGCUGCCUCCAGUGAAAGCCUAUCAUCUAACUUCACCUCUGUGCAUCUGCUCACGAUAAUGCAUUUAGAAAUCAGGGAUGUUUUGCUCUUUUCAGUCUUGGAAGCAAGUGACCUGGAUUCACUUUUAAGAAUAUGAUUUGCAGACUUGUUGACUGGGAUUCUUCAUUUGGAGGAUGAGUUGAUUUGUCCGUAUAAAUCCCCUGUGUCAAAUUUAAUAGAUGGAUAAAGCGACCCCUCACCUUCCAUAUAAAAAUUCAUACUCCCUAAAAAAUAUGUAAUUUGAGGGGGGAAAGUAUGAGAGGGUUUCACAUCUUUAAGAAACCAAACAAAUUCCAAACUGAAUAAAAGAGACAGACAGAGAAGGUUGCCUUUCUGCAAGCCGCCAGCUUUCCCAAGUGUCUCAUCCUCUCCCCUCUGUCAUCCUGAGGCAAUGUGCCUGCAUUUGUGUGUAGAUUUAUAGUUUAUCUUUAUCUAUGGCUUCAUCUGUAGGUAGCUAUUAUAGCCGCCUUGCCUGGAUAUUGUUUGGGCCUGAUAGAUCUGAUCGGAAGAACAC